rnacentral:rRNA from 1 species
GAUGAACGCUGGCGGCGUGCCUAAUACAUGCAAGUCGAGCGAACGGACGAGAAGCUUGCUUCUCUGAUGUUAGCGGCGGACGGGUGAGUAACACGUGGAUAACCUACCUAUAAGACUGGGAUAACUUCGGGAAACCGGAGCUAAUACCGGAUAAUAUUUUGAACCGAAUGGUUCAAAAGUGAAAGACGGUCUUGCUGUCACUUAUAGAUGGAUCCGCGCUGCAUGAGCUAGUUGGUAAGGUAACGGCUUACCAAGGAAACGAUGCAUAGCCGACCUGAGAGGGGGGUCGGCCACACUGGAACUGAGCCACGGUCCAGCCUCCUACGGGAGGCAGCAGUAGGGAAUCUUCCGCAAUGGGCGAAAGCCUGACGGAGCAACGCCGCGUGAGUGAUGAAGGUCUUCGGAUCGUAAAACUCUGUUAUUAGGGAAGAACAUAUGUGUAAGUAACUGUGCACAUCUUGACGGUACCUAAUCAGAAAGCCACGGCUAACUACGUG